rnacentral:tRNA from 1 species
GGCGCCAUAGCCAAGCGGUAAGGCAGCGGACUGCAAAUCCGCGAUUCCCCGGUCCGAUUCCGGGUGGCGCCUCCA